UCUACCGAUUGGACGCUGCGGUGAAGACCUGGGAUUGAGAUGGGGUUGUUUGGGUGGGAUUUUGUCCCACCCUGCACGUCGUCCCGAGAACUCGUCUGAACCCCAUCGUCUAGAGGAAGAAGAAGUCGUAACAAGGUU
rnacentral:rRNA from 1 species